GAGCGGGCAAAGGUGGAACUUGCAGCUGAGUGCUGCCGUGAGAUUCUGCACCACGUUAAUCAAGCUGUCCGUGACAUGGAGGACCUGCUGCGGCUCAAGGAUUACCAGCGGCGCCUGGACUUGACUCACCUGCGGCAGAGCAAUGACCCAAUGCUGAGCGAGUUCAAGCUGAUCGUGGCUCCUCCCUGCCUCAGAACCUGGAUAUCACUAAGAAGAAGUUGGUCCAUGAAGGCCCCCUCACGUGGCGACUAACCAAAGACAAAGCUGUAGAGGUCCACGUGCUAUUGCUGGACGACCUGCUGCUGCUGCUCCAGCGCCAGGAUGAGAGGCUGCUGCUCAAGUCACACAGCCGGACGCUGACACCCACACCCGACGGCAAGACCAUGCUGCGGCCUGUGCUCCGGCUCACCUCUGCC
rnacentral:lncRNA from 1 species